UACGGAGGGUGCGAGCGUUGUCCGGAAUCACUGGGCGUAAAGGGCGCGUAGGCGGCGCGGGCAGUCAACGGUGAAAGCUUGGGGCUCAACCCCGAGUCGGCCGUCGAUACUCCCGGGCUGGAGCACUGUAGAGGCAGGUGGAAUUCCGGGUGUAGCGGUGGAAUGCGUAGAGAUCCGGAAGAACACCGGUGGCGAAGGCGGCCUGCUGGGCAGUAGCUGACGCUGAGGCGCGAAAGCGUGGGGAGCAAACAGG
rnacentral:rRNA from 1 species